GAUGAACGCUAGCGACAGGCUUAACACAUGCAAGUCGAGGGGCAGCAUUGUAAUUAGCUUGCUAAUUACAGAUGGCGACCGGCGCACGGGUGAGUAACGCGUAUGGAACCUGCCCUUUACAGGGGGAUAGCCCAUGGAAACGUGGAUUAAAAUCCCAUAAUACUUUAUUCGGGCAUCCGAAUGGAGUUAAAUCUACGGAGGUAAAGGAUGGCCAUGCGUCCUAUUAGCUGGUUGGCGGGGUAACGGCCCACCAAGGCGAUGAUAGGUAGGGGUUCUGAGAGGAAGGUCCCCCACAUUGGAACUGAGACACGGUCCAAACUCCUACGGGAGGCAGCAGUGAGGAAUAUUGGUCAAUGGCCGGAAGGCUGAACCAGCCAAGUCGCGUGAGGGAAGACUGCCCUAUGGGUUGUAAACCUCUUUUAUUCGGGAAGAAUAAGUUUCACGCGUGGAACGAUGCCUGUACCGAAUGAAUAAGCAUCGGCUAACUCCGUGCCAGCAGCCGCGGUAAUACGGAGGAUGCGAGCGUUAUCCGGAUUUAUUGGGUUUAAAGGGUGCGUAGGCGGUUGAUUAAGUUAGUGGUAAAAUGUCAUGGCUAGACCUUGGCCAGCCAUUAAUACUGGUCAGCUUGAGUACAGACGAGGUAGGCGGAAUAAGUUAAGUAGCGGUGAAAUGCUUAGAUAUAACUUAGAACUCCGAUAGCGAAGGCAGCUUACCAGACUGUGACUGACGCUGAAGCACGAGAGCGUGGGUAGCGAACUAGG
rnacentral:rRNA from 1 species